rnacentral:rRNA from 1 species
GAUGAACGCUGGCGGCGUGCUUAACACAUGCAAGUCGAACGGAAAGGCUCCUGCUUGCAGGGGUACUCGAGUGGCGAACGGGUGAGUAACACGUGGGUGAUCUGCCCUGCACUUCGGGAUAAGCCUGGGAAACUGGGCCUACUACCGGAGAGGACGAUGGUUUGGAUGCCAUUGUGGAAAGGUUUUUCGGUGUGGGAUGAGCUCGCGGCCAAUCAGCUUGUUGGUGGGGUAAUGGCCGACCAAGGCGUCGACGGGUAGCCGGCCUGAGAGGGAGUACGGCGACCUUGCUCCUGCGGUACGGCCCAGUCUCCUACGGUGGACAGCAGUGGGGAGUCUUGCACAAUGGGCGCACGCCUGAUACGGCGACGCUGCGUGGGUGAUGACGGCCUGCGAGUUAAGAACUCCUUUCGCUAGAGACGAAGCGCAAGUGACGGUACCUGAAGAAGAAGCACCGGCUAACUACGUG